rnacentral:lncRNA from 1 species
UCAGGCAAGAAGCAACGUACCACUGGUGCAAGCCAGGGGCAGGGCUGGAGGGUGAUUUUAGCCCUUGUUCAAUUCACUCCAAAAACUAAAAAAAUUAAAAGAUUUUUCGUCACAUCGAAUUUGGUAUAUGCAUGAAGCAUUAAAUAUAGACGAAAACAAAAACUAAUUGUACUGUUAGUCUAUAAAUCGCGAGAUGAAUAAGUCUAGUUAAUCUAUAAUUAGACAAUAAUUGUCAAAUAAAAACGAAAAUGAUACGGUACCGCGAUCUAAAAACGAAAAUGCAACCACAAUGUUGUCUGAAACCAGUCCAUAGGAAGUUAAAUAUUCAAUAUCAGGUAGCUGAAACAUUGUGGAACUGGUCUAUAAGGUAGUCCAUAGCUAAAGUCGACCAUAGGAUUAUGGACUAACCAUAAGCAAUAAAAAAUAUUACUCUCUCUCUGUGUGUUUCUGCUCUCUGCGUGCAAGAUCUGCUCGGCCCAAUCACCUCACCUGCACGUAGGAAGAAGCCGGCUGCAACUUGAUUGAUUUUUAAUAUUUUUUAUACCAAGAGAGGCUCAUCUAAUGGACUCACAUUGUAGCGAAAUACAUAGCUAUGGACAACUAACACUGGACCCACCUUUAUGGACCAACUAGUCCAUAUACAUUGCCCUUGCUCAAGGUCGACGACCGAAGAGGGUAGAGCUGCUGCUGGGCGAAAUCAGUGUGUAGUAUGGCCUUGUUUAGUUCAUCCAAAAAAACAAAAAAAAUUCAAGAUUUUAUGUCACAUCAAAUUUUUGGGCACAUGUAUAGAACAUUAUAUUAUAAAAAUAAAAAUUAAUUGUACAAUUUGCUUGUAAAUUAUGAGAUAAAUCUUUUAACCUUAGUUAGUCUAUGAUUGGACAAUAUUUAUCAAAUAAAAAUAAAAGUGCUACAUUACCAAAAAUAAAAAAAUUUGGAAACUGAGCAAGGCCUAACUACUCCCUCAGUCCAAAAUUAAGUUCGUUUUAAGUUUUCGUGCUACGAGUUUAAUAUGAUUUGUAGAAAAUUUAUAUAAUAUUUGUAUCUUCAAAUAAAUUUGUUAAAAAACUAGACUUAAAUAUUUUUCCAAUACUAUAAAUAUUAAUAUUAUGAAUAUAUAUAUCUAAUUAAAGUUAUUUAUUAGAAAACGUAAAUGACGAAGGGAGUACUCCUACUGGAUACGGUAGACGAGACGGGUGUGUGCGUUCACGUUUGUAAAACAGGUACUAUAGCACUUUCGUUUGUAUUUGACAAAUAUUAUCCAAUCAUGCACUAACUAGACUCAAAAGGUUCGUCUCGUCAAUUUCGACCAAACUGUGCAAUUAGUUUUUAUUUUUGUCUAUAUUUAAUAUUCCAUACAUGCGUCUAAAGAUUCGAUGUGACGGAGAAUGUGAAAAAUUUUGCAAAAUUUUCUAGGAAGUAGGACCUGUUUAGAUUGGGAACGAAAAUUUUUUGAGUGUCACAUCGGAUGUGUCG